UACAGAUUCAGCCAAUCGGAGGCCCUGCCUGAGGUUUAUGCAGAUGAACUCCUUGGGUUAUUCAUCAGGCAGAUGAGAAAACAGGAUUACAGGAAUGAAAUGACAUGACCAAGAUCCCUCUGGCGCGGAGCUGACACUUGAACCCAAAGUCCAUAUUCAGUGAUAUUUCCAGGGCACCUUAAUGUUUCGAAAGCUCCCAAAGGGGACAGAGAAAAAGUUGAUGGAGCCAUUGUUGUCUUCAUGCCCAGCCAGGAGAGUCUCUACCUCUUCCUCAGUCAUCUUCUCCCCUAUUAGCA